rnacentral:rRNA from 1 species
UGUGCCACAGCCGCGGUAAUUCCAGCUCCAAUAGCGUAUAUUAAAGUUGUUGCAGUUAAAAAGCUCGUAGUUGAAUUUCGGGGUCAGUAGGUUGGUCAUGCCACUGGUAUGUACUGGUCUCACUGAUUCCUCCUUCCUGAUGAGCCGUAAUGCCAUUAAUUUGGUGUUGCGAGGAAUCUGGACCGUUACUUUGAAAAAAUUAGAGUGUUUAAAGCAGGCUAACGCUUGAAUACAUUAGCAUGGAAUAAUGAAAUAGGACGUUCGAUCUUAUUUUGUUGGUUUCUAAGAUUGACGUAAUGAUUAAUAGGGAUAGUUGGGGGCAUUAGUAUUCAAUUGUCAGAGGUGAAAUUCUUGGAUUUAUUGAAGACUAACUACUGCGAAAGCAUUUGCCAAGGAUGUUUUCAUUAAUCAAGAACGAAAGUUAGGGGAUCGAAGACGAUCAGAUACCGUCGUAGUCUUAACCAUAAACUAUGCCGACUAGGAU